AUAUUUAAUUUAUUUAUUAUAUUUAAUUUAUUUAUAAUAUUUAUACUGUGCGUGUUAGUGUUCUAUUUAUUGUAACGCGUUACCCUCUUCGUGUCGCAUUUCAGUGCAUUUCGGUUUUAGCAGUUUUAUUUUGAAUUUUUAAGAUGUACGAUAAAUUAAUAUUGAAAGCAAUUUUGCUUAGCGAAGAGUGCUGGGCAGUGGACAAUAUUGGGAAACUGUAUCCGCCUUCGGCCAAUGUGUACAAGGUAAUUUCCCAACGAAUGAGAACGUAAUUCGUAUAUAUCCCCGAAGCACGUUUACGUAAUUGUUCGGCAGAAUCGAAGUGGAUAUAAAGAUCUAAUCCUAAACGCGUAUUCAUUGGCCACAAACGAUGCGGAUGAAAAUGAUCUGAGUGAUGCGUUAGAUUCAGCAUCGGUCACAGGCCCUUCGAAAAAAUUUGAUUUAUUUGUAGCGGCAGAAAAAUGGUCUUUGAUGAAGCCGGUAAAUCGUACAUACAAUAACCAAAGUUACCUGGUCCUACAAUCUGGAUGGACGAAAAUAAUAUCAGAGUUGUCGAGCCAACAAUAGAAUCUAAGCUGCGUAUUCGCCUUAAAAAAACACAAUGUGUACCGUACGGACAGAGCUCGGUGCUAUGUCUCAACGAAGGGUGCAUGUAUAAAAAGUGGAGCCGCGUUAGAAUGUAUUUUAGUUAAAGAGCCUGUCAGCAUCGAUUCGGAUGUCAAAUUGUUAUGCCGCCUUAACAAUUUCCAAGCGCAAAAGCAUGGAACUGGGAAAAGAAGACAAGUUAAGGGUAAACGUCGAGAAGAAAAGAAAGAAAAACUUAUUGUAAAAUUUAAAUUCAGUCACAAAAAAAAAUUAAUCCAUCAAAUAAGAUAUAAGGUGGAUGACCCAGUCUUCGGCCAUGUACCAGUAUCAAUCGACGUUCAACCGAAUUCUUGCCGAUACUGGCAGCCUGGAAAAAUAGACAUAUAUUAACAUAGGAUUUAAAAAUAUAUCGAAAAAGUAUUGAAUAAAUAAACCAUUAAAAAAAAACGAGAUAGCAACAUGACUCGAACCAGCGAUCUCGCGCUUAUGAAGCUGACGUGCUGCACACUACACCACGCUUUCGAUUGUGAAUACUUAUGUACUGCUAAGACUUUAAUAUUGUACGCAAAUUUUCAAGUUCCUUUUUCUCGAAAACUUUUGAGAAGCAUACCCUAUGGCUUGGUACAUAAGAGUUACUUUUGAAGCACUGCACGUACAAUCUCAGCCGAAUCGGGGAGGGGAACGUCUGACCCUCCCCUUGUUAAACAAAAAGGGAAGAGAGUCUGGAUAUGGUUAAAAAAACAAAGUGAAAAGGACUGGGGAUAGAGACACAUAAAUUAGUAGAUGCUAGUUUUGGAAUGUGGAAACUUGGAUACAGUGCAUAUGGGAAGGGUCUUGCGAAGGGAGUACCCGUAGAUUGUCAAUGUGCCGAAGUUAAGGAUUGCCUUUUCAAAUGCUUAAGGGAUGACGGACACUGGGAAGGAUGAGACCGUGGAUGAAAGGAAUGGUCACAGAAGAGCCUGCGACGUAACAGAAUUAAAUCCCACCGUGUUAGGAGCCAGCGGGAAGAGCCGGUCGAGAGGACUCCCGGAGUCGACGUGUCGCGGAUUAGAAAUUUAAAGGCUCGACGAGUCGAGCUGGUGCAAGGAUGCACCUGGCGCCCAAGGAAUCCGCGAAGCGCAGCGUUGGGGUCAUCGAAAGGAC